rnacentral:rRNA from 1 species
ACGAACGCUGGCGGCAUGCCUAACCCAUGCAAGUCGAACGAGACCUUCGGGUCUAGUGGCGCACGGGUGCGUAACGCGUGGGAACCUGCCCUUAGGUUCGGAAUAACUCCCCGAAAGGGGUGCUAAUACCGGAUAAUGUCUUCGGACCAAAGAUUUAUCGCCUUUGGAUGGGCCCGCGUUGGAUUAGCUAGUUGGUAGGGUAAAAGCCUACCAAGGCGACGAUCCAUAGCUGGUCUGAGAGGAUGAUCAGCCACACUGGGACUGAGACACGGCCCAGACUCCUACGGGAAGCAGCAGUGGGGAAUAUUGGACAAUGGGCGAAAGCCUGAUCCAGCAAUGCCGCGUGAGUGAUGAAGGCCUUAGGGUUGUAAAGCUCUUUUACCCGGGAUGAUAAUGACAGUACCGGGAGAAUAAGCUCCGGCUAACUCCGUG